CGUUGUGCAACUGUUGAGUUGUCUGAACGCACCCAACUCUCCAUAGAUCAUUCGAGACAUACGUAGAACAUAUUCCAUUUUCCAUCAGAGUCAAACCAGUGCGACGGUUACAUUUGUUUUGUGUGUGAAAGCUUUAUUCUAUGUCGACUUGCUCUAUUAUAAAACAGUUUUAUAAUAGAAAUUUUCUAUUUUUCUAAAUCUGAUCUUAUUCCAAAGUUAAAAAUGUAUCUCAUUAAAUGUAUAACAGAUAAUUCAUUGUGUAUUGUAAAAAAUGAAAAUAUCUUNUGUGAUCUUCAUACUGUUAAAGAAGGCGAUGAAGUUAAGUUUCAGUACGGAAAUAUGCAUUAUGAAGGAAUUAUUAUUAUGAUUUCUGAUGAUAUUUUGAUGCUAGAAAAUAAAAGAAAAAAACUUAAAAAAAGUGAUGUUAAUGAAAGUCAAAACAAAAGCGACGAAAAUAUACUUUCUGAAAAAAGACAAAGAAGACCUAAAAAAUUUUCUUCUUUUGAAACUUUUCCCGAGAUCAAAAAAAAUUCGAACAGAAAAGUAAAUAUAAUUCAAAGAUUAUUUAUGAUUGUUANGUAGUCAAUUUGUUCUUUCUCUUUCUUUCAUUAGCAAUAUCUAUUAAUCUACCAGCAAGAUAAUUUUACUCUCGUGCUAUUCAGAACAAUCAGAACUGAACUAAGCGAACGGGAUUCGAGAGGUUAGGUUAGGUUAGGUGUUUGUACGUACAAGUCUUUUUUAAGUGAGGAAAUCAAAUAGUUUAUCUUCUCUCCUUCUCGUGUGAAAAAACUUAAACAAUAAAAAAUUUUGUCUGAGUUGAUUUUAAAGACUUGAGUUGCCGGCGAAGGAUUAAUNCUUAUUUAUUAUUAUCAAUGAACUAAUGCACUUUAUGUUUAUAUAAACUUUAGAAAAAACGUAAACCAGUUGAAAAUUCCCAAACAACAUUAAAUACUACAACUACAAGUAAAAUUAAUAAAGUGAUAAAAAUAAUCAACAAGUACUUGCAAGAACAGAAAAUACUUCUGAUAGUUAUUCUAGCGAUGAAAGUUCAUCAAAACCUUCCAAAAAACAGCCAUACAAACCUUCUUUGUUAACUAUUAAGUCAUACAAAAAUAUAAUAUAUUAUUCUUAAAUAUUUCUGAAAAAUUCAGAUAAAAAG